AGGAGGGAACGUGUGGGAACUUGGGGACUGGGCGAGGUGAGGGCUUGGGCGGGCGUGAGCCCCAGGUGCUGCGAUCUCUGUUUGGGCUCGGAACCCGGCAGGACCAGGACCACAGUCUCCGGGGUCAUCCGUUCCCUCCCCACCCAAAAAGGAAUCGCCACCGGGUCGGAGGCUGAGACACGCAUGCUCUCCUGCCCACUGCCACACCUGUCAUGUGGAAGAGUCUCCGUUAGCCUGAGUCCUGGGAGAGCAGAGCACCCCCACCAGGAUACAGUCAACGUGUAGUGCUUAGAAGCUGAUGUCUUCUCUCCGAGGUGGAAUUACAUUUACCAAGCUCAUGGGACUGAUGUGGAAAAUCGGAACGUCAGUGUAUUCACUGAUAACAAAAAAUAUAAUUGCUGAGAAGACUGGAAUACUCUCAUCAGUGUGACCAGCACAUUCUUUCCCGGAGGCAGAUCUAAGUGAAAAGCCAAAUUAUACAAAGAAGGUGGCUUGUUCCUGGUGUUCAAGGAAAUCUCUGUCAAAACUCCGUGGAGCAUGAGCUAAAGGAACAGAGACAUCAGUGACUUCAUGUGAGUUUAUGUUCAUUUGCUACAGCAGCGGUAGGAAGCUAACGCAGUGCUCAUUGAACGUUAGCUCUGGCCAUUGGGGAGGAACUUCAGCUCCAUGUUACCUGUGGUCAGUGUGUUCAGUAAAUACUGAUCACAAUAAACAUAAUGGAUACGAGAACUCGCCAGAAGCGGUAUAGCAGGAGGUCUGUUCCUUUUCUGCUUAACUGUUGGUAUCGGAAGCAUCUGAAAGUACUUUGUUCAGUUUUUUUUAAAAAUCUGUAAUUCUGAACCAGUUACUUUAUUCCGCGGUGCAGGCCUGAUUCCACACUUUGGCGAAAGUUAGUAAUUUUUUAACAGGUAGAGGCGGCGGUGAAAUGGAACACACCUCAGGUCGGAAGUCCGAAAGUUGGGCCCUGGUCUCAGCUCCACCUCUAUCUGGCGGUGUGACUUAGGUCAUCUUGCCUCCUCUCUUUGGGUUUUGUUUUCCCCAUUCAGAAAAUGAAGGAAUUAGAUCAAUAAUAACUCCCAUGUGUCAAAUGCCUGCAAUGCACAAUUUAUACAUAUGGUCUCAUCUGAGCCCCAUAAAAACUGUGCAAGGUAUCAUCCCCAUUUUAUAGUUGAGAAAACUGAGAGGCCCAGAGAGGUUAAGUGACUUUCCCAAGGUCACAGAGUAUCAGGCAGAGCUGUGAUUUAAAACCAGGACUGUUUGACUCGUUUUGAUAAGCCCCUCUACCUUUCCACGUUUUGGAGGUCGACACUGUCUUCACAGAACAUGCUUAUGAGGCACCUGCUUUUCUCCGUACAUCAUAGUGAGGAUGAUGGGUCUCUCUAGCUUCCCACUUGAGGGGUCUGGAACCUGGUCCAUCUCUUGUGUUUCUGAGAACCUCUGAUUCAGCCCCUCAGAGACUUCCCUCACAACCAUGUAUCCCUCCUCUCACCUCUAACAGACACUACGAGGUGCUGAACCAAUGUCUGGCCUCUCCUUUUUACUUAGUAACAGAAUCCUAAUUUUGUUCGAAUAAAAUGUACCCACUUAAAAAUACCUGCCCGCAUUCCCUUGCAGGUGCACCCUUACAGGUGGUCCCCUGACCCAGCUCUGACCAAUGAGAUGUAAGUGGACGUUUGGGUGGGGAUUCUUGGGAAUCUAUCUUCUUCAUACUAAAAGGUGGGAGAAGUCAGCAAGCCCAAGGCACAAAUUGCCUUUGUUUUCAUCCUCGCCUGGAACGUAGGUGAGGUUUCUGGAAGUGGAGCAGCCAUCUUGUGACUAUGAGGGUGAGUGCCACCUGCUAAGGAUAGCAGAGCCGGAAGACCGAAGAAACUUCUUUGUCAUCGGUCCUCUGUACCAGCCUGGAUUGCCUAGACUUCUUGUCACAUGAGAAAACUAAAGCUUUAUUUGGUCAGAUUUCUGUUCUGUCAACUUCAUACCAUCCUAACUGACAGGUUCUCUGAGAAAAGUCUCUCCUCUGCCCUGUAGGCCUGACAUGUGGCCUUAAUAAGCACCUGUGGUGACUCAGAAAUAGACCAGGGGGAAGAGAAAUUGGCCAUGGCUGUGAUUCUGAACUUGCUGAGCCAUCACCUGUUCAAUCCAUGCUCUGAAGAAGAGUCUGUUAAUUACACUCUCCUUGGCCAGCCAGAGCACAGGAGGCUGCGUCCGUGUGUUCUCAGGGAAGCUCAAAUAUAGCUCAGACUCCUUCACCGCUUUUGCUGAGUGUGCAGCUUCUGCGUGUCUGGCAGCCCCAGCGAAGAAUGGAGAAGCUUUUCCCGGGAGGUUAGAGUCUGAAGAAGGUGCUAGGAAACAGGGAUGCUGGCAAGGUCUGGCUCAAGGAAACAAGGUCUUCCCUCCCGCCUUCUGCAAGGAGUUAAAGCAAUAUGGAAAAGUACAAAGAAGGAAGUGAGAAAGUCAAGUGAUCAAGGUCAACAGCACGAAGGGGUUUCAUUGUCAGGGGUGAGCUGAGGCUCAGGAAGCAGCCACGAAAACCUGCCUCGCACCCCCUCUCAUUUCUCCACUGCGCUGGAAUCGGACUCUAAAUGGAAAGAGGGAGUCAAGAGGGCCCCAGCCUGGCUCCUCAUCCGGGCAGAAGCUGUCCCUUUAAAAGAGAGAGGAGGCAGAGUUGGCUUACUGCUGCCUGAAGGGGCUGACUGACAGCCAGUGUGCUCCCGGGAGGCCUGAUGUCAUCACCAGUGAGCAACAAGGCAUCUGACUGGCAGCAGAAUGAGGAGUCCAGGAGCCUUGGCUGUGACUGCGGGGGGGGGGGGGGGGUUCUGCACAGCACCCACCGAGCAGGCAUUUAAAGUUGCAGGAAUUGGGUCCAUCCCAGGCUCUUCAGGGCCCCUCUCUCAGCCUUACCUAUCAAGCAGGGCUUCUCUCCUCCAUUCUCUCCAUCCUUGGAACGGGGGCGUCCUGCCUGCAAGACCAGACUCCCGUUCCAGCACUGGAACCACCCCCCGAGUGCCAGGUCCGGACCAUACCUGGCUCUCAAGUGCAUGCUCUCCUUCCCUCCUCCCCUCUGAUGAUGAACUUGACACUAUUUUUUUUUCUAAUUAUAAAGGUAAUACAGGCAUUGUAAAAAAAAAAAAAAAAAAAAAGGAAGGAAGGAAAGUACCAGUUGACUCUUGUACAUUGCUGAUGCCCACGCAGUUGUAAAUCACAUAUAACUUUUGACUCCCCCAAAACUUAACUGCUAAUAGCCUACUGUUGACUGGAAGCCUUAUUGAUAACAUAAAUGGUUAAUUAACAGUUAUUUUGCAUGUCGUCUGUAUUAUAUACUGGAUUCUUACAAUAAAGUGAGCUGGAGAAAAAGUGUUAUUAAGAAAAUCAUAAAAAAAGAGGAAAUGUACAGUAUGAGACUGUAUAUACGGGGAAAAAUCUGCAUCUAAGUGCACCCGUGCAGUUCACAGUCAACUGUACAGAACACUGUAAAGAAUAAAGUGAAAAUUAUGCUUAGCCACAA